CACACUUGGCGAUAAAAUUUUUUCUCUUCUCCCAUCUGCCUCCCAAUUGAAACCAAACAACAACCCCUCCCCUUUUGAUAUUUUUUUUUCUCAACUGGCCGACAGUUCCCCCCUAGAGAACCCUUCUGUUUUUUUUGUUUCCUUUCUUCCUCAGCCACCCGAAGAACCCAGCGGCGCUGUCCCUCUCCAUCCCCGCUGUCUUCUUCCUGAUCUUCUCCCCGCACACCCGCGGCCAUGCCAGCUCCACCGUAGCUUCAACAGCCCGAGCUCAGCCUCAUGCCGGACAGGGACCAGACGAGGGGCCAGACCGUCCACAGAAACCGAACCGACCCCCUCCUGGCCGACCCAUCCCAGCAGCUGCUUCUCCCCGCAGACCCGUGAUCAUCAACGCCGCCACAAACCAGAUCGGCCUCCAGCAACGCCGUCCGUCGCCUGAAACAGAGAAGGAGAAGCCAGAUCGGACAAGAAGAAGCAAAAUCCGAAGCAGAUAUGGAGAAGAAGAAGAAAAAACAGAUCUGAAAAAAAACUAAGAAAAAAUUAAAAUCGACUGCUUUGUUGGGUUUUUUGUUGUUAUUGCAGGUCGGCGCCGGCGAGGAAAGAAAGGGGGAGGAGGUCGUUGCAGACCCCCCUGUUUCGGUUUGUUUUUCACGGCGGUGCGUGGUCCCACGCGCCGCCAGUGGCGGUGGUGCGUGGGAUCCACGCGCCGUCACUGUUCCUGCGCCCAGAAAAUUUGUUGAACACUGUUCCGGCUGCUAAAGGCUAUCCCUGUUAUUUCUAGAUUGUUUAG
rnacentral:lncRNA from 1 species